CCUUGCCAGCCCGCUCAGAAACUCAAAGGAAUUGACGGGGCCGCACAAGCGGUGGAGUAUGUGGUUUAACUCGAUGCAACGCGAAGAACCUUACCUGGUCUUGACAUCCCGGAGACCCUUAGGAAACUAGGGGGUGCUUCCAUCUGGAAGAAUCUGGAGACAGGUGCUGCAUGGCUGUCGUCAGCUCGUGUCGUGAGAUGUUGGGUUAAGUCCCGCAACGAGCGCAACCCUUGCCUUUAGUUGCCAGCAGUUCGGCUGGGCACUCUAAAGGGACUGCCGGUGUUAAACCGGAGGAAGGUGGGGAUGACGUCAAGUCCUCAUGGCCUUUAUGACCAGGGCUACACACGUACUACAAUGGCCGAUACAAAGGGCAGCGACACUGCGAGGUGAAGCCAAUCCCGUAAAAUCGGUCUCAGUCCGGAUUGGAGUCUGCAACUCGACUCCAUGAAGUUGGAAUCGCUAGUAAUCGUGGAUCAGCAUGCCACGGUGAAUACGUUCCCGGGCCUU
rnacentral:rRNA from 1 species